AUUCCAGCUCCAAUAGCGUAUAUUAAAGUUGUUGCAGUUAAAAAGCUCGUAGUUGGAUUUCUGGCAGGAGCAACCGGUCCGCCGCAAGGUGUGCACUAGGUUGUCUCCAGUCAUCUUUGUGGGAACUGCUCUGGCAUUAGGUUGUCGGGGUUAGGGAACACAUCGUUUACUGUGAAAAAAUUAGAGUGUUUAAAGCAGGCUUAUGCCGUUGAAUACAUUAGCAUGGAAUAAUAAGAUAGGACUUUGGCGUCUAUUUUGUUGGUUUGCACACCAAGGUAAUGAUUAAUAGGGAUAGUUGGGGGUAUUCGUAUUUAAUUGUCAGAGGUGAAAUUCUUGGAUUUAUGAAAGACGAACUUCUGCGAAAGCAUUUACCAAAGAUGUUUUCAUUA
rnacentral:rRNA from 1 species